UACGUAGGGUGCAAGCGUUGUCCGGAAUUAUUGGGCGUAAAGAGCUUGUAGGCGGUUUGUCGCGUCUGCUGUGAAAUUUCGGGGCUCAACCCCGAACUUGCAGUGGGUACGGGCAGACUAGAGUGUGGUAGGGGAGACUGGAAUUCCUGGUGUAGCGGUGAAAUGCGCAGAUAUCAGGAGGAACACCUAUGGCGAAAGCAGCUCUCUGGGACGGUACUGACGCUGAGACGCGAAAGCGUGGGGAGCGAACAGG
rnacentral:rRNA from 1 species